rnacentral:rRNA from 1 species
AACGAACGCUGGCGGCAGGCUUAACACAUGCAAGUCGAACGCAUCCUUCGGGGUGAGUGGCAGACGGGUGAGUAACGCGUGGGAACGUGCCCUUCAGUUCGGGAUAACCCAGGGAAACUUGGGCUAAUACCGGAUACGUGCGAGAGCAGAAAGAUUUAUCGCUGAAGGAUCGGCCCGCGUCUGAUUAGCUAGUUGGUGGGGUAAUGGCCCACCAAGGCGACGAUCAGUAGCUGGUCUGAGAGGAUGAUCAGCCACACUGGGACUGAGACACGGCCCAGACUCCUACGGGAGGCAGCAGUGGGGAAUAUUGGACAAUGGGCGCAAGCCUGAUCCAGCCAUGCCGCGUGAGUGAUGAAGGCCCUAGGGUUGUAAAGCUCUUUCGCACGCGACGAUAAUGACGGUAGCGUGAGAAGAAGCCCCGGCUAACUUCGUGCCAGCCGCCGCCGUAA